UAUCGCGCGUCGAGAGUGCCGUGUAAAGUGUCGGGCGAUCGUAAUUAUUCGUGUUUUCGCGAGUGUCGCGAGUGCUACAAAAGACCAAGAAAGGAGGAGGAGGCCCGGGGAGGCAUCGGGCGACAUCGGGUCAACAAUGAGAUCAAUGUAGCUGUGUAGUAUAACUCCGAUAUUGCAUCGUAUCGGUCGGCGAAAAGUAUUCUACAGUACUUUUGGAGAAAGAGAACGAUGUGCGAAGACGUACGAAUAAGUUUGAGACGAGCGGAAGAAAAAUAUUAGCGUUAUAUCGCUUCCUGACUACAUGGACGGCCGAUGGAGGUUCAUACCAGCACAAUAUUACACCAGUUAUAGCGAUAUGAUAGCGGCCGUUGAUCGUGUGGCUCUCGAAGUGGCUAUGCAAAUUAACGCGGGCUCUAUCGAGCGAGAUUGCCCGGAGAGAGUCUCGGUAAAAGAGAACGAAGGAUAGACGCGAAGAAUCAAAGAAGGACGGUAGAAACGAGUAGAGAGAGAGAGAGAUGUACAGAAAAGAGAGAGAGAAACAGAGAAGAAAAGCCGCAGGGCAAGGGAAUCCGAGCGAGCAUCGGAGAGAGUGAACGAGAAUAGAGGAAGAACGUCGACCCCGCAGAUCGUAGAAGAGGAUAGUGAACGCG